ensembl:snRNA U6 U6 spliceosomal RNA
GUAUUAUUAAGAGUGCAAUGAAAAUUGUAACAAUACAGAAAAGAUUAGCAUGGCCCCUGUACAAGAAGGACAUGCAAAUUUGUGAAGUGCUCCAUAUUUGU